rnacentral:rRNA from 1 species
AUUGAACGCUGGCGGCAGGCUUAACACAUGCAAGUCGAGCGAGCGGCGGACGGGUGAGUAAUGUCUGGGAAACUGCCUGAUGGAGGGGGAUAACUACUGGAAACGGUAGCUAAUACCGCAUACCAUCAGAUGUGCCCAGAUGGGAUUAGCUAGUUGGUGGGGUAAUGGCUCACCUCGGCGACGAUCCCUAGCUGGUCUGAGAGGAUGACCAGCCACACUGGAACUGAGAAACGGUCCACACUCCUACGCGAGUCAGCAGUGGGGAAUAUUGCGCAAUGGGCGCAAGCCUGAUGCAGCCAUGCCGCGUGUGUGAAGAAGGCCUUCGGGUUGUAAAGCUCUUGCAGCGAGGAGGCGUUACUCGCAGAAGAAGCACCGGCUAACUCCGUGCCAGCAGCCGCGGUAAUAC